CCGUCGAUAGCUCCGUUGGUAGAGCGGAAGACUGUAGAUCUUUAGGUCGCUGGUUCGAAUCCGGCUCGACGGG
rnacentral:tRNA from 1 species